AGGGAAGGAGAGGGAGAAGAGCGCGCCGGCGUCGCGCCUCGCCGACGUAGAGCCCAUCACACGCGUCGCCGCUGUCAUGUCAUCGUCAAUCUGAACCGUGCGAGGGAGAGAGCUGCUGCUGCGGGAAACGCGAUGGUGGAGAGGACGCCGCCAGCUUUGUCGCGCCUGGUCGCUGUCGAGCUUGCCGUCGAAGACGCCACCACCGUCACUGUCGAACCCUAGCCGUCGCAGUCGCCGUCAACGCUGUGGCAGAGAAGGAGGAAGGAUGCGCGAACAGAAGAGGGAGAAGGAAGCUGCGAAGCCGUCGCCGUUUCUGCUCGGGGUUGUCACCGCUUCUGAAGAAGACGCGUCCGAGAGAGAGAGAGAGAGAACCAGGGGAGUGACGCGCGAAGGAUGCUCUGACGGAGAAGGAGGAGAACAAGGUUGUCUCAUCGCCAAUGAUUAGAAGUUGCUACUGUUGAUGGGAUGAACAGAACGUGGAGAGGGAGGAGAAACUCGCAGAGGAGAGGGAGGUUUUGUCGCUGCACCGCUGGUCGCCGGGGAACACCGCCAUUGACGCCGGAAAAUGCCACUAUUGGAGCCACUGUCCUUGCUCGGCCCCUGUUUCUGUUGCUGUUUACGCUGGCUCAGCCAUUGCCGCCACGACUCAUCUCGAAUUUCUUCUAAUUUCGACACUCAGAGGGUGCUGCUACUCUAAAUGAUUGGAAGAUGGUCAUCGCUGUUUGAAAAGAGCAAUGCAUCACAAUUGCCCUGUUUGCUUUGAGGAGAAAAUAGUUCUGCUUUGCCAUCAGUUCAUACUCUGUCAUCUGCUGCUGUUCCGUGCUCUCCUCUCCGCUUGCGUCCACUACGCCGUCCCCCACCUCGUCCGCUGAGCAUUUAAAGUGGCUGGAAAUUCUGAGUUGAUUCUCUCAAUGUCCUGAAUGGCUCAAGUAAAAUUGCUGCAUUUGAUUUUGAUGGCCUGAAUGACUCAAGUAAAAAUCUUAGAAUUCUAGAGAAGAUUGCCCAAAUAUUCAAAGAGGAUUUGAAGUUCUGUGGAGAAGAGCUUUCUGGAAGCGGAAUGGAGACUAAGAAUAGGCAAGACAAUUACGAAUUACAGCUACAAUAGUUGAUAAUCCUUGAAGACAGACAGUCCCAGCAUGGUGGAAUUGACAGCAUUUUACUGGUUACAUGGAAGAAAUAAGAGUUCAUGUGCUAUCAAUUUAAUUUAGUGGAUAAGAUUUCAUGUUUAACUGGCUAUCGCAAGGUGGGGCUGGUGGUCUAAGUUUUCUGCUUUGUGUGAGAGACUAUACUAAGCAAAGCAACUGCUGAUGUUGACAAAGGGGUGAUGAGACUGGUUUCUUUUAGGUGUUUCUGUUUUUUGAAAAUAUGGGAAACUAUUGGGAGAAUUAUUUUUCGCUGCCAGCAUUGAUAAAACUCUUUAGAGGAAGAUUGAAUUCUUUUUUAGGGUUGGCGUUUUUUAAGCUUAUUUUCCUGGGAUAAUUAGAAAAUAUCUGGAAUUACUUGUAACCAACACUGAUACAACUAUAUUGUAUCCGGAAAUUU